rnacentral:lncRNA from 1 species
UUCAUUUCUCUCAACUUCUCCUCACUCCUCCCCAACUUUCCUUCGGCGAUUUGAGCACCUCCGGUCAUCUUUCUAAGGUAUUUUACUCUUCUUCUUCAUCAUCUUCCUCUUCUUCUUCUCCAUCUUCUUCUUCUUCUUUUUCUUCUUCUUCUUGUCCUCUUUUUUUUCAUCUUUUUUUUUUUCCCUUCUUCUUCUUCAUUUAAUCUUUUUUAUCUUUAUCUUUUGUUCUUCAUUUGAUUUUAUGGAUGUUUGAUUUAAUCAGGGGUUUAUCUAUUUAGGGGUUUAUGUAUUUAGUAUUUGGGGGUUUAAAUAUUUGGGGUUUUAUUUUAGGGUUAGAUGUUAGGUUUUGAAAUUAGUUAUUUUUUGGUUGAUUUAAUUAGGGUUGAUUUACUGUUUUAAUUAAGGUUAAGUUUAUGAUAUAAUUAGGGUUAAGUUUAUGGUUGAUUUACUGUUAAUUAAGGUUAAGUUUAUGAUUGAUUUAUGUAGGAAUUAAUUUGAUGAUGUAUAUGAUGUUUAAGUUUUAGGAUUUUAUUUUUUAAUUUGGGAUUAAGUAUUAGGGUUUUGAUCUUAUUAUUUAGGGUUUUAAAUUUUUAUAUUUAAUUUUUUUUGUUUUAUCUAUUGUUUUGAAAUUUUUGUUUGUUUUAAAAUUUUAUAAUUAAGUGUUUUUUUAAUUCACUGUUUUAAUUUAUUUUUAUUUUAGUGUUUUGUUCAAUUUUUGUUUGUUUUAAAUGACUGUUUUAAGGUUUAUUUAAGAUUUUAUUUUAAUAUAUUAUAUUAUUUUUGUGAUAUUGAUAAAUAAGAAAGAUCGUUACAUAUUAUGUGUUAUAUGUGUUAAUUGAUAUAUAGGUUUGUGAUAUAUUAUGUGUUAUAUAUAUUGAUAUGUUUUGUAGGAUUUGCAGAUUUGCGAUAGUCAUAUUACACUUUGCGAUUGUCAGAAACGAGAUAUCAAAACUCGUAUUCAAAAAGAUUUCUUCAAAAAAGAAAAAACGACAAUUGACAAAAUAAAGAUUAGGAUAGUUAGCGACUUUUUUAAAAAAUUUCUUAUUUUGUUUUGUCGUAAAUUAUUUUAAUUAUCGACUAUUUCAAUCUCAAUUAUAAUUUCUUUUUCAAUUUCUUUUUUAUUUUCAUUUAAUAUAAUUUCUAAUUUCUAAUUUCUAA